rnacentral:rRNA from 1 species
GAUGAACGCUGGCGGCGUGCCUAAUACAUGCAAGUCGAGCGGUAAGGCUCCUGCAGAUUGUUCGAUAGUUACAGAUAAGGGAAGGCUCCCAAGUUUGAUCGAAUAAUGUGCUGGAGUACACGAGCGGCGGACGGCUGAGUAACACGUAGGAACGUACCCCAAACUAGAGGGAUAAGCACCAGAAAUAGGUGUCUAAUACCGCAUGUGCUCUUCGGAGUAAAGCUACGGCGGUUGGGUAACGGCCUGCGUAAGAUUAGCUAGUUGGUGAGGUAAUAGCUCACCAAGGCGACGAUCUUUAGCUGGUCUGAGAGGAUGAUCAGCCAGAC